rnacentral:lncRNA from 1 species
CACAAAGGACUUACAAAGAUAAAGCCCGAAGGCUACUGAUGCUACCACCUAAGGGUUCACACUGCCACCUUGCAACUCGAGCAAUUCUGUUAUUCAAGGACUUGUUUUCGCUGAAGAACUACACGAGAAAUUCCCUCACAUAGUACAACAUAAUUAACAUAAGUUGGAGGUGGAAUGGAUGAAUUCUUUCUUGAAUAAAUUAAAAUUUUAUUAAUAUCCAAAAAAGUUUACAACCUGAUGAGCAUGCGGGGUAGAUUUAAUAGCCAACAACUAUUAGCUCAGUUGAUAAAGGCACCCCUCCCCAAGUGGGAGGUUGUGGGUUCAAUUUCUCUUGACUGUGGUUGGAUGAAUUUUACCCAUGUAAUUUUAACCAUGCUGGAUUAGCCUUUGUGCCUUGUUCGUGGUCGGCCUUAGGGUCUAGGAUUCAAAGGAGAUUGAGCAACAAUAUGAAGGACGUCUUCAGCAUGAGAGCUUCAACUCUGGCAUGAUCAAGACAACUGUUGGAGAUGACAAACAGAGUUGAGUGUGUGAUGGAGAGGGUAACCUAACUGCAGGUUUGAUUUACCCAGACCUUGCGAUGUAAGCUAUGGUAGAAGAAUAAUCUCCCAAUUUUUGAUCAAGUACGCAAAUGUGAACUCUGUAUUUAAAGUAAAGCCACCCCUCCCAAAACUGCAGGUUUAAUUUACCCAGACCUUGCGAUGUAAGUUAUGUAGAAGACUAAUCUCCCAAUUUCUGAUUAAGUACAGAAAUGUGAACUCUGUAUUAAAGUAAAGCCACCCUCCCAAAACUGCAGGUUUAAUUUACCCAGACCUUGCAAUAUAAGCUAUGGUAGAAGACUAAUCUCACAAUUUCAAAUCAAGUAUGCAAAUGUGAACUCUGUAUUUAAAGUAAAGCCACCCUCCCAAAACUGCAGGUUUAAUUUACCCAGACCUUGCGAUGUAAGCUAUGGUCGAAGGCUUAUCUCCCAAUUUCUGAUCAAGUCU